CACCCCGAGAGGCGUCUGGGCAUCUGCGUGGCGAGUACGACGGUUGGUGAGGCAACACCCGCUUUGGAUGUGUAGACGUGAGCGCUCGAGCGACUACCCACCGUGAGAGGGCGUAGUCGAACAGACAUGUGGCGCAUUAAGGCUGCUGGCCUGGUGUCGGGGUUUGUCAUCACUUGCGCCGGCUAUUACAAGGUGUUUGCGCUCGAAAUGCUCAGCGCGCGUGCGGCGCAGGAGAAGCGCUACGAGGAUAUCGAGCAGCGGCUGCUAGCGGCAGCACGUGAUGCUAUGAAAGCCGCUCCGGCGGAGCACUAUGUCGUGGCGCAAGCCACGGGACCACCAUCCUGAGAGUGAGCUGUUCACAUGGUUUGAACGAACACCAUCGCUGCAGCGCAAUCGCUCACACGCACUUGCACGUACACCCAACCACCCUUCCACCCACCCACACACGUUGCGGUUUUCAUUGCCAGUCGAGAGCAGGAGGCUCUACCUGCCGUUUUCAUCUCGGUAGCUAAGCAGCGUUACCGCCGACGACUCCACAAGGGUAAGAAUUAUCCCUAUCACACCUGCGCGAGGGUGUCUCCGCGGUGCGCGUGAGUGUGUACGGGUGCUGGGAGGACAUGCUUGCCAGAGGACGGCGAAGACCAUGGCGCGAUGCAGGGCUGAACUUCUAUGCGGCCCGCCGCCGCCCCCCCUUUCUUACCCCCUUGCAGCGGACGGUGCGGAGGUGCUCCACUGGUGUGGAUCUGUUCUUAAUGUUUGUGCUUCCCCCGCCGGCUUGCCUGGCCUUGACACACAGACAC
rnacentral:misc_RNA from 1 species